GCUGGGAUUACAGGAGUGAGCCACCGCGCCCGGCCACGUAGUUUGACUUCUAAGAGCACUACAGCUCUGCUGAAGAUGUGGUUUGUCAGCUGACUGAUUAUUCUCUGCUGUUCUGGAUAGUCUUCUAUGUACAAAACUAGAGGAGCUGCUAUUCAUGUUGACCAACAGUCUUAAGCAGAAAGAAAUAGCUUCUGGAAAAAUAACUAUAAUAUUGGCACAUUUCAGCAUCUCAAAGCAGAUUUUUGCAAGACGGUAAAUGACAACACAAGAUAUUUCAAUAAAAUGCCUACAUGUUGAAAGACCCUCCAACGGAAAAUAUACCAAGAGCAGAGCUACCUGAAAUAUAAUCUUAUUUCAUUGACAUACACUCCCUGGGAGAAAGUAAAGUCCAAAUUUUAUGUUUCUUGAAAUUAGACUUAAGCAUUAUAUCACAAUAUUUUUUCACCUUUAGAAUUAGAAAUCCAAAGAAAAGUCCUCCCUCCCACCUUAUUUUCUGUCAGUCUCAGCUGGAGGUAUGCUUGGGGUUUGGACAGUUUCAAGAAUUUUUAAUAACUGCAGAACCACCUGUCUCUUGCACUAAAA
rnacentral:lncRNA from 1 species